rnacentral:rRNA from 1 species
AACGAACGCUGGCGGCAGGCCUAACACAUGCAAGUCGAGCGCCCAGCAAUGGGAGCGGCAGACGGGUGAGUAACGCGUGGGAACCUUCCCAAUGGUACGGAAUAGCUCAGGGAAACUUGAGGUAAUACCGCAUAAGCCCGAAGGGGAAGAUUAUCGCCAUUGGAUGGGCCCGCGUAGGAUUAGCUAGUUGGUGAGGUAAUGGCUCACCAAGGCGACGAUCCUUAGCUGGUUUGAGAGAAUGACCAGCCACACUGGGACUGAGACACGGCCCAGACUCCUACGGGAGGCAGCAGUGGGGAAUCUUGGACAACGGGCGAAAGCCUGAUCCAGCCAUGCCGCGUGAGUGACGAAGGUCUUCGGAUUGUAAAGCUCCUUUGCCCAGGGACGAUAAUGACGGUACCUGGAGAAUAAGCCCCCGGNUAACUUCGUGCCAGCCGCCG